AGAAAGAAUGCAAUUUUUUGCAACAACAUGGCUGGAAUUAGAGGGUAUUAUGCUAAGUGAAAUAAGUCAGAAAAAGACAAACACUGUAUGCUUUCACUUACAUGUGGAA